GAGUUCCAGCUGUGACCAGUGGCUAAAUCCCUUGGCGGCUGCAGAAUGUCUGAAUGUCACCCAGAGACAGCGGUCAGCACCACCACCCUGCCUGCCGAUAGAGAAAGGAUGAAGCUCCCGUUCAAAGGCUGGCCGUGGUGACCGAUCCUUCAAGACCCUUAAAAAAGUUGCAUCCACUGUGCCUGACAGCGAGAACCAAGCCCACGAGGAGGCGAAAUUCAUGACGUCCGCUGGGAAACAUCAAUUCAGCCCCUGUUUUUGGAUGUCAAGCAUCGACAGGGAGGCAAUUUACGUGCAAACAAGAGAACAGCCUCCGUUGACUUUGGAGGGGUUGACCGCCCCCUUCCCUGACGCAGAGAUGUACAAUUGGGGCAAAAUCACUUCCGUUUGCAAAAGAGGUGAGCAAUGUUACAGAUUAAGGAUGUGUGAAAGAGUGGCUCUGAAUGAUAACUGUACCGAAAGCCCGUUUUGGCACUACUCCAUCUUUGCUAUGUCAUACUGACGCAGCAGUAACAAAAGUAAUAUAACAGGGCGAUCAGCUGGUGU
rnacentral:lncRNA from 1 species